UACAGAGGGUGCGAGCGUUAAUCGGAAUUACUGGGCGUAAAGCGCACGUAGGUGGCGACGUAAGUCGGGUGUGAAAGCCCCGGGCUCAACCUGGGAGUUGCAUUCGAGACUGCAUAGCUGGAGUACGGAAGAGGAGGGCGGAAUUCCCGGUGUAGCGGUGAAAUGCGUAGAUAUCUGGAGGAACAUCAGUGGCGAAGGCGGCCCUCUGGUCCAGUACUGACACUGAAGCGCGAAAGCGUGGGGAGCAAACAGG
rnacentral:rRNA from 1 species